UCUGCCGGAAGUUACUCUGCUUGGCGGCUGCUUGGUCAUGCCGUCCGGAGUCAAGUACUACGGCAGCUACUGCUGCGCUGCGUGGUGCAACAACAACGGCAGGACAGGGAGAGAGCGUGGUACUAAGUGGUUCAGGAUUCCGCGAGACGACAGCCCAGUCUACCAGUCCAUUUGUGGCAUGUGAGAGCUUUGUUGACAUGAGGUCUGACCCGGAGAUCCUUCAUUCAUGACUGCAGUGAACCUUUCCCACCUUAUGGUUCACAGGGUCAAGGGGUAACCAAAGCGGCUUCCAGGAGAACAUCCAGUCUAGUCGGGGGUGACGAGAGUGAGAGUGUAAAGGAGAGCUCCUGUUCCCUGGCACUGCCUG